rnacentral:rRNA from 1 species
UACGUAGGGCGCAAGCGUUGUCCGGAAUUAUUGGGCGUAAAGAGCUCGUAGGUGGCGUGUCGCGUCUGCCGUGAAAGCCCAUGGCUUAACUGUGGGUCUGCGGUGGAUACGGGCAGGCUGGAGGCUGGUAGGGGCAAGCGGAAUUCCUGGUGUAGCGGUGAAAUGCGCAGAUAUCAGGAGGAACACCGGUGGCGAAGGCGGCUUGCUGGGCCGAUACUGACGCUGAGGAGCGAAAGCGUGGGGAGCGAACAGG